rnacentral:rRNA from 1 species
UACGUAGGGUCCGAGCGUUGUCCGGAAUUAUUGGGCGUAAAGAGCUCGUAGGUGGCGUGUCGCGUCUGUAGUGAAAGCCCGGGGCUUAACUUCGGGUGGGCUGUGGAUACGGGCAUGCUUGAGGUAGGUAGGGGAGACUGGAAUUCCUGGUGUAGCGGUGAAAUGCGCAGAUAUCAGGAGGAACACCGGUGGCGAAGGCGGGUCUCUGGGCCUUACCUGACGCUGAGGAGCGAAAGCGUGGGGAGCGAACAGGAUUAGAUACCCCUGUAGUCCCUGA